ACGCUCACUUCGGCAGCACAUAUACUAAAAUUGGAACGAUACAAAGAAGAUUAGCAUGGCCCCUGCACAAGGAUGACACACAAAUUCGUGCAGCGUUCCAUAUUUAA
rnacentral:snRNA from 1 species